rnacentral:pre_miRNA from 1 species
UCAGCAGUAUUAAAGUGCUUAUAGUGCAGGUAGUUCUAUGGCCAUCUACUGCAGUGUGAGCACUUGAUGUACUUCUAA